AUUGAACGCUGGCGGCAGGCCUAACACAUGCAAGUCGAGCGGAUGAAGGUAGCUUGCUCCUGGAUUCAACGGCGGACGGGUGAGUAAUGCCUAGGAAUCUGCCUGGUAGUGGGGCAUAACGUCCGGAAACGGGCGCUAAUACCGCAUACGUCCUGAGGGAGAAAGUGGGGGAUCUUCGGACCUCACGCUAUCAGAUGAGCAUAGGUCGGAUUAGCUAGCUGGUGGGUUAAAGGCCUACCAAGGCGACGACCCGUAACUGGUCUGAGAGGAUGAUCAGUCACACUGGAACUGAGAAACGGUGCACACACCUAAGGGAGGACGCGGUGCGAACUCUUGGGGGAUGGAGGAGAGGGUGAUAUAGCACUGCGGCGGGUAUGAAGAAGCUGUUACGAUUCUAAAACAAAUUAGGUUGGGGGAACGGAAAGUACGUUAAUACCUUAAUGUAUUGACAUUACCAAAGAAGUAAGCUCCGGCUAACUUCGUG
rnacentral:rRNA from 1 species